rnacentral:rRNA from 1 species
UACGGGGGGGGCAAGCGUUGUUCGGAAUUACUGGGCGUAAAGCGCGCGUAGGCGGCUUUGCAAGUCGGGUGUGAAAUCCCCAGGCUUAACCUGGGAACUGCAUUCGAGACUGCAUUGCUAGAGUAUGGGAGAGGGAAGUGGAAUUUCCGGUGUAGCGGUGAAAUGCGUAGAUAUCAGGAGGAACACCAAUAGCGAAGGCAGCUCGCUGGGACGGUACUGACGCUAAGGCGCGAAAGCGUGGGGAGCGAACAGG